UAUUUUAGAGUGACGAUCAAACUAUCACAGCUCUCUUUCUUCCCUAUGGCAACAAUCUCUGUGGAAAAAAGAAACAAACAUAGACAAACACCGCUGUCUAGAACGUCAGUGUUUACCGUUUUGAGAUGUUGUGGUAGUCAGCUGGAUACCAAACCUGCCGUUAGUUUUUUGGUGUUUUGGGACAUUAUUUUAACUUUUUAUAUAAACAAUCUGUGAAAUAGUUAUUCAUUAUGAACCAUGGCUUGCGUAGCUAUUGGUUGUGAGAGUAGAAUGGGUGUUAUAAUGGAGAACGAUCAAACAAUGUCUCACCAUGGAUUUCCUAAAUAUCCUAAUUUACGAAACAAGAAAUUAAGAAACAAUUAGAUUCAGACCAUGAAACGAGAUAAUUCUCUCUUCUGAAGGACGCCUUCUCCUUAUUUAAGUCUGUGCUAAUUACAUUUCGAUGUAUCUUGCUUUCUAUCGAGCAGGAUACCAAACAAAAAUAUUACAUAGAGAUGCAGUACCAACAAUAUUCACUCACAUAUCUCACAUAAGGUAAAGUUAUAACGACCAGAGCCGACACUAUACACUUCUAAAGAAAGUGAACAAGAGGAAAUAUUUUUUUUUUAUCACCAAAAGUCGGAAUUGUUCAGUGCUUCGUAGUCAUUGUAUUCUAACUAUAUUGAAUAAAAAUCGUAUAAAGAAGUAUUUGCUUUUAUUCUUUAAUCGCAUUGAGAUAAUCCCCGAAAUAUACUAGAAGGUCGUCUACUUCUUGUAUCGAGAGCCGAUUCGAUUUCCGGUCAAGUCAAUGAAAAACGUGUAAGUAUUUAAUUUUUAUAAAAGGGUAGGUAUGUGAUUUAUAGCAACCAAAGGGU